AGAGUUUGAUCCUGGCUCAGGAUGAACGCUAGCUACAGGCUUAACACAUGCAAGUCGAGGGGCAGCAUUGGGGUAGCAAUACUUCAGAUGGCGACCGGCGCACGGGUGAGUAACACGUAUCCAACCUGCCGCUUACUCGGGGAUAGCCUUUCGAAAGAAAGAUUAAUACCCGAUGGUAUAAAGAGUUCGCAUGUUCUCUUUAUUAAAGAAUUUCGGUAAGCGAUGGGGAUGCGUUCCAUUAGAUAGUUGGCGGGGUAACGGCCCACCAAGUCUACGAUGGAUAGGGGUUCUGAGAGGAAGGUCCCCCACAUUGGAACUGAGACACGGUCCAAACUCCUACGGGAGGCAGCAGUGAGGAAUAUUGGUCAAUGGACGCGAGUCUGAACCAGCCAAGUAGCGUGAAGGAUGACUGCCCUAUGGGUUGUAAACUUCUUUUAUAAGGGAAUAAAGUGAGGGACGUGUCCCUUUUUGUAUGUACCUUAUGAAUAAGGAUCGGCUAACUCCGUGCCAGCAGCCGCGGUAAUACGGAGGAUCCGAGCGUUAUCCGGAUUUAUUGGGUUUAAAGGGAGCGUAGGUUGACGUAUAAGUCAGCUGUGAAAGUUUACGGCUCAACCGUGAAAUUGCAGUUGAUACUGUAUGUCUUGAGUGUACAAGAGGUGGGCGGAAUUCGUGGUGUAGCGGUGAAAUGCUUAGAUAUCACGAAGAACUCCAAUUGCGAAGGCAGCUCACUGGGGUACAACUGACACUGAGGCUCGAAAGUGUGGGUAUCAAACAGGAUUAGAUACCCUGGUAGUCCACACAGUAAACGAUGAAUACUCGCUGUUUGCGAUAUACAGUAAGCGGCCAAGCGAAAGCAUUAAGUAUUCCACCUGGGGAGUACGCCGGCAACGGUGAAACUCAAAUGAAUUGACGG
rnacentral:rRNA from 1 species